GGGCCCAUAGCUCAGUCGGUUAGAGCAGCUGACUCAUAAUCAGUUGGUCCUAGGUUCAAAUCCUAGUGGGCCCACCA
rnacentral:tRNA from 1 species